rnacentral:rRNA from 1 species
AUUGAACGCUGGCGGCAUGCCUUACACAUGCAAGUCGAACGGCAGCACGGGAGCAAUCCUGGUGGCGAGUGGCGAACGGGUGAGUAAUACAUCGGAACGUGCCCAGUAGUGGGGGAUAACUACGCGAAAGCGUAGCUAAUACCGCAUACGCUGUGAGCAGGAAAGCGGGGGAUCGCAAGACCUCGCGCUAUUGGAGCGGCCGAUGUCAGAUUAGCUAGUUGGUGGGGUAAAAGCUCACCAAGGCGACGAUCUGUAGCUGGUCUGAGAGGACGACCAGCCACACUGGGACUGAGACACGGCCCAGACUCCUACGGGAGGCAGCAGUGGGGAAUUUUGGACAAUGGGGGCAACCCUGAUCCAGCCAUGCCGCGUGUGCGAAGAAGGCCUUCGGGUUGUAAAGCACUUUUGGCAGGAACGAAACGGUUUGCGUUAAUACCGCGAACUAAUGACGGUACCUGCAGAAUAAGCACCGGCUAACUACGUGCCAGCCGCCGCAGUAA